rnacentral:rRNA from 1 species
GACGAACGCUGGCGGCGUGCUUAACACAUGCAAGUCGAGCGGAAAGGCCCUUUUGGGGUACUCGAGCGGCGAACGGGUGAGUAACACGUGAGUAAUCUGCCCUUCACUUUGGGAUAGCCACCGGAAACGGUGAUUAAUACCGGAUAUGACGCACUCGGGCAUCCGAUGUGUGUGGAAACUCUUUGGGUGGGGGAUGUGCUCGCGGCCUAUCAGCUUGUUGGUGGGGUAAUGGCCUACCAAGGCUUUGACGGGUAGCCGGCCUGAGAGGGUGACCGGCCAGACUGGGACUGAAACACGGCCCAGACUCCUACGGGAGGCAGCAGUGGGGAAUAUUGGACAAUGGGCGGAAGCCUGAUCCAGCAACGCCGCGUGAGGGAUGACGGCCUUCGGGUUGUAAACCUCUUUCAGCACCGACGAAGCGCAAGUGACGGUAGGUGCAGAAGAAGGACCGGCCAACUACGUGCCAGCCGCCGCAGUAAUAC